CCUCCCUAUAGCUGCUGCGUCGGUAUCGGUGGGAGCCCCAGCUCGAGCUUGGUAAUAAAAACUCUCUUGCUUUUGCAUUGGAUAUCGGCUCCCUGGUGGUCAUUGGGAGAUUUCGCGACUUGGGCAUAACAUUUGGGGGCUCGUCCGGGAUCUCCCACCGGCUCCACGGGAAGACCGAUCCGGACUAUCUUUCUUUUCACUCCUGGUAGAACCUGGUAUCUGAGACCGGUAUAUGACUCAGGCGGACGCACCGGAGUGUCACCGGUGGGGGUCCUUGGGAGAUGUCCCCAACCCCGGCGUUGGGGGACUGAGUGCCCCUGUUCUCUGUAGACGAUAGCGGGUCGCUCCCGCUGAACGGCCGGAGGCCGUUGUCGUUCGGUUUUACCUCCGGACUCCCGGAGGUCUAUUUCUCCUGUCUCUCUUUCUGUUUGUGUGGCUGUUCGUAUUGUCUGUGUUAAUUUACCAACAUCUGACUGAUCCAGAGACGACGGGCAACACCAUUCUAGCCCCACACCUCUAUCCUUGGUUACUGAUAAUUUUAAGGAGGUCAAGAUGCACGCUCAUGACCUCAGUGUAGAAAUUAAAAGGAAUAAAUUAAUCACUUUUUGCAGCGCAGAAUGGCAGACCUUCCAUGUAGGCUGGCCCUCAGAAGGCACCUCUGACUUGGGAACUGUACACCGAGCCCGAGAUAUCAUCUUCUGACCGCGGAUCGGACACCCUGACCAAGUUCCCUUUGUCAGCACGUGUGUCUCCUCGGACAAUUCAUUUCUGAGUGUUAGACAAGAGCCCAGUUUUGGGCCCUGGAAGGGGUCCCUCUUCCUGCAACAAAUGGUGACUCUGGUGGGACUCUUCUUCACCGAGACUGACAUCCUGACCAUUCGGGGUACUCAGGGGCCAGCUUGCCUGCCAAUGGACCAGACCCAGUGGCCGCAACUGGGACCCUUUUGUCCCUGGUCUCCUCCUGACACAGACAACUGGCCAGAGUGCCCCGACCACCCCCAAGUCCUGGACGCAGGAAUCUGGUCGAAGGGCCCUCAGCCUGAGCUGAGGAUUGGAGACUGAUCACCUCUUCUUGGCAGAGAACUCGAAUUCUGGUUCUGAUUUCUGGUAGGGCCGAGUUCCAGUCCUCCCUUCUCUUGAGGCCCAGGGAAAAGUCCCGUAAUGCCUGGGUAUCUGUAGGUGCAGGGGACGUCUGUAAGGCCACCCCUUUUGCCCCCCUCUCCUGCCUCCUCUCCCUUCUUCUUUCAACCUGGCUUCCUUUCCUCCCUUGAAAUCUUUGAUGUUAGUACUUGGAUCUGAAGUUCUGUGUCUAUAGGAGGUUUUCUGAGAGACUGUAUUUUUGUAUUUAAUGGCUUCUCUGGUGGAGCCGAGGUUAAAGCAUCUGCCUGCAAUAUGGGAGACCUGGGUUUGAUCCCUGGGUCGAGAAGAUCCCCUGGAAAAGGAAAUUUUGCUUUGUCUGGCAACCAUGUGGUUUAAACCUGCCACCAUUUUGUUAAAACUUGAUUUUCUUUCCCUGUGCCUUGAGACCAGGGCUCUCAGGAACACUUAUCUGACCAUCUCUAACUCCUGACACUGAGGAAAAAGGAAAAAAAAAAGACUUGAAGCUAGAUCUUACACUGUGUCUGUCUAAAUAUGUCUUGGUAAUAUUUUUGUAUAUGAUCUCUAUUUAUUUGGCUUAAAAAAAGGUAAGUGCUUACAAAUCAAGUAAUUCUAAAUUAAACAAUAAAUUCCAGGUUUAUGUGAACUGGGAAAUAUUCAGUGUUAAAUACCUGAUAUUAAUGUUUGUUUGUUGACCUAUUUAAUAUAGACAUGUCUUAGAGUACUUCACGGUAAGUAAAAUAUUUUCAUUGUACCUAGGUUUAAUAUGAGUCAAAUAUUAUACCUGUUACAAGUUUGUCAACAAGAAAAUUACCUCAAGUGAAAAAAAAAUUCUAAAAAAUGUAAAUGAGAUAUGAGCAUUUACAUAAACUCUAUUAAGAAUAAUUAUGCUUUAGGAAUGUCUGUCUGAAAUUGUCCAAAUUGGGGUAACUUGAAUUGGGUUGUGCUAAACUAAGUGAUGGAAGUUCACUGACUAGCUAGCUCAUUUCCAAAGAGAGUAAAAUUUUGAAACAUUUAUUACUGAACAUUAGUUUCCUCUUACAAAGAAGCUAAAGAAAUUUGGGACUGUUAAUGACUAAAAAUAAGCUGGCGCAAAAACUUGAAUUUGGCUUUUCUCUCUCUUAAAAGGACACACUUUCUUCAGAUGUUGAACUGCAUUUGACAAUAGAUUUAAGUUCAUUUGCUUCUUAAAUGGUCUGUUCUGUAUUUGCUUCUGAAAUCCCAUAUUGUUACUUGGCUGAGUGAAUAGCUAUUGUUUCACAGUGACCUAUAGUCCCGCCUGACUGAGUGCUCAAAACCUUUCUGAUAUUUGUUGACAAAACUUCCUAAAUCAUUCUAUGAAGCACUUUUGGCUUCUAGCUAACUUUGGGGUGCUUCAGAGGGCCCCUGGAACAUCCUAAAGAGAGAUAUUAAACUGUGUUUAUUUGGUUGGUUAAAUUACAUUAAAAAAAAGAUUAUCAAAUGAGUAAUAAAUCUGUUCAUAUUAUAAUGUAGAGUUUUUAACAUUCUGAUAUGUCCUGGUAUUUUAAUGGAAAACCUGAUGACUUCACAAAAGUUAGCAAAAGGACUAAAUGAACCAGUGAAUAUGCUUAUAACUUUUAUGGUUCCUAUCUGAAAAAUUAUGGGGUUAAAUCUUAUGUUUUCAGGGAGUAGGGGAAAUCUUCCUCUCAAACUAAUUAUGACAAUACUUUGGUAAAAUUAAAUGUUAUAAAAAAAACAAUUAUAUUUUCUAUCUAACUCCUCCAAAAAUUAGAAGUUCUUAGGUUUCCAGUAAGUUUAUCAAAUGAGUUAGGAAAGUUUUCUCACGGAUACAAAAAUCUCAAGAAAUUUUUGAGACAUUAAGAAGGGAAAAAUUCACCUAGAUUUGUUAGGCAAAAUCUGUGAUAAGCCUUUGGUGUGAGUUUCCCAGCCCUGUUUUAUUUUAAAAGUUCAGUCUGAGACUCUAUAAAUGUUUCAGCAAAAUAAAAAGCCUAUAAUCAAUUAUGGUUAUGGAAAUAAUCAGACCAAAAUCAGUGAGAACAGACCUAUUUUGCAAACAAACUAGCCUUAAUUUGGUUAUAUUUAAUAAAAAUAAGGGUAACUUUAAGGAAAAAAAAGAUAUUUUGAAAUGUUAAAUCCCAGUUUGUUAAUGGAGGUCUGCAUCUAGUAAGACUCAUCUCUUAGAUAGUUCUUUGCUGUUAUGUAAUGUUAAUGUAAAAUUUAAUUGAAUUCUUGAAGAACACCCUAAGUUUGUUUCUGAAGCUUAUCUCAAUAAUCUAUCUUUGGAUGAAGAUCAGAUGCCUCAUGACCUGCAACCAGGACUGGAAAAAGACAUAAUUUAAGGGACUGUCUCCAACAUGGAUGGAAGGACUUUUUAAUCAGGAGAAACUACACUACACCAGGAUGAGAAGACGACGACAUCAGAGGGAGACAGCUUCCCCGAGAUGCGGGACCUGAUUCGUAUGAUCAUUUGUUUUCUUGACUUCUUAGACCUUUGCAUAAAAGUCAAAUGCUUUUCUAUCAUAGGCCUGAUCCUAUGCUAGUUUUAAAAAUCAAUCCAAUUGUUGGGUUUGUGGCCAAUUACCUGUGUCUAGUUUUGGGUUACCUUGGUAAAUUUCUCUAUUACCAGACUCUAACUGAUUGGCCCUGAGAAAAUUUACUUAAAAAAUUAAAUCAUACUAAAGAUAAUCAGUCUAGUGACACUAGAAAACUGGGCUAUGUUCCUUAUAGAUGGUGCCAAUAUAUAAUUUCCCUGGAAGAUAAAGAUUCUACAGGGCAGUCUAAGUCAGAUGACCUGAAGAUAUACUGGGCUACAUCUAAUGGAAGUUCUUAACAUAAGUCUUACUUGUGACUUUUCUAAUACUGCUGGCUAUGUUAUUUGUAUUUCACCUGUUUUACAAAAUUGCUGUUUCUUACACUGUGUGUGUGUGAGGCCUCUAAUAGAAUAAUAUAUAGUCCCAUAUGAGAUCGAUGAUGGUAACAGUGUAACUCUAGAUAUGGCAAGAAGCAAAGAGAGGGAAUAUUUUCCUGGACCAAGAAGCUAGUAAGACAGGUGGUCCAGAGAAUUUUGGAUGCUGUUUUAUGGCCUAGUCCAGUAACAGCACAUUGAGUGGCCUGUUUACCUGAGAAUGGACACUCUCAGCACCAUGGGAUAAAAUGGUCAUGAAGUGCUCCCCUCAUAAUCAUGGUCAAGUUUAUGAGCAAAAAGUGCUCUGCCAACUGAAGACUGACACUCGCCAUCUGCAUCUACAAAGAUUAAACCAUGGCCGCUGCAACUGCUGACUUUCAACGCCCCUGAAAGGAGUUCAGGGUGAAAAUCAGGAAUGAGGCACUCUGUGCUCUGGGAAAAACUGGCAGAACAGGCCUUCAGAUAGUUAGAUCUUUUCAGGAGAAGAUUUUAUGAGUCCCAAUUCUUGCAUCUUCUCAUACCUAGAGAAACACUGACAUCAUUAAUGGUGAAAUCUGCUUUGGCUAUUAAGGAAAAGUUUACAAUUAAAAGUCAAAAUAGAGUAGCUAUGGUUCAGAUAUCCUGGGAAAUAACUAGGUGAUGCUAUGGGUGUACUUUCAGAUUAGACCUUGUAUUGCUAAAAACACUUGAGUUUUCUGAGUCGUUUCAGGCUUGGAUGCCACCAUUUUCAAAACAAUGUCUGCUGGAAGCUAGUAACCUUACUUUUUAUAAAACUAGGCAACUGGCUACAUGGCUACAAGUCUCCCUGAAGUGCCAGGACCAGACUGGGUUUCAGGCCUAUUCUUCUAAAAAGAAAUGAGAUUUAUUUUGUCUACUAAAUUCCAGUUAUCACUCCUCCAAUUACUUCUAACUGGGUCUGUUACACCAAAAUGGCAGACCAAGGGAUUAGGAUUUUAAUCAUACAAGACUCAGAUCUAGAACUUGGAACUCAGAAAUACUUCCAAUUCAGGGUCUAUACUCCAAGCUGGGGUAGUCCGAUGCCCCAUUUUGACAGGAAGUUAUCACAGUCAUAGUUGCCUAGUUCCCUAAAAUUAAAACUGAGCGGGACUCUGUGGGGCUCUGGAGUGCAGAUCUGUUCUGUGUUCUCCAUUUCUUAUCUGUAGGAUAUAGACUUUGUUCAGCCUCCUUGGCCUUCCCUGAAUUCCAAAGCGUGGAUUCAAACAAUUGCUAAUCAGGGAAGGGAGGGGAUACAAAAACAGAAACAAUCAAAGGUUGGUACAGGCUCCAGACAGAGUCCUGGUUCCUACUCAAAGAAAUAUGCAUAACAAUGUCUUUGAGCCCCCCAUCCAGGUAGAAGAUGGUAACUUCAGACUGAACACAAGAUUCCUGGAGCACAGCUCUGUUGUCUCACCACCAACCCAUCAGAAGGGGUCACAAAGCCUGCAACCCUCACCCCAAAUGUUGCCUUCUGUUUCCGGGGACCAGAGAUGACCAUCCUGUUAGGUCUCCUGUUUGGCCUUUGUCUAUUUCAUCUCUGAGAGGGGCCAACUAAAUUGCUGUUACUACAAGGGUAGAAGCUGGUUUCAGAUGUGGAAAACCCCAACCUAGAUCAGGUAGAGAGAGACUUCUGCUCUAUUAGGCAGGCCUACACCCACGCACAGGAGGAAGAAGUUAACAGAAGAAAGAGACCUCCGCCCCAAUUCCCAAAAAGUAUCUUGAGCAUGAAGUCUCUCAGAGGGCCUAUGCUGCGUUAGGGGAAGAACGUUGUUUUUAUGUGAAUCACUCAGGGGUAGUCAAGGAGUCCCUGGCCAAGAUAAGAAAAGGGCUGAUUCAAAAAAAAAAGAAAGAAAGAAACGUCUCAAAAUUGGUUUGAAUCCUGGUUCAACUCAUCCCCCUGGUUCACAACUCUCAUAUCCUCCUUGGUGGGGCCCCUGAUUAUCUUGUUACUGCUACUCACCCUCAGGCCAUGCUUACUAAACUAACUAGUGGCCUUCAUUAAAAACUGCAUCAACACGGUGCAGCUCAUGGUACUCAGAUCCCAAUAUGCGGCCCUACCAACGGUCCCCUUAGCAGGAGACAAUAUAGAGCUGACCUCAGACCCAUGAUUGGGUCUGUCCUGGAUCCUAGAGAAGGGGGAAAUGAAGAAUCAAAGCUACUCCACUUUGUAAGGUUCCGGGAAAAGAGCCUUUGGAAAUUCCCUAACCUCACCCCACCACCUGGGAACAAAUCAGAACCCUUGGCCAGCCCGGGAAAUUCGAAUCAAGCCCAGGAAAGGAGAACCAAUCAGAACUCAGCACCUAACCCUUCACCAGAAGGUGACCAAUCAGACCUGGAGACUCCCGUUUUUCGAAUUUUUCGCACGAUAAUACCCUAUAUAAGCAAUGUAACCCAGAGCGCAGGGCUCCUCCCUAU
ensembl:lncRNA